GAUGAACGCUGGCGGCGUGCCUAAUACAUGCAAGUCGAGCGAACGGACGAGAAGCUUGCUUCUCUGAUGUUAGCGGCGGACGGGUGAGUAACACGUGGAUAACCUACCUAUAAGACUGGGAUAACUUCGGGAAACCGGAGCUAAUACCGGAUAAUAUUUUGAACCGCAUGGUUCAAAAGUGAAAGACGGUCUUGCUGUCACUUAUAGAUGGAUCCGCGCUGCAUUAGCUAGUUGGUAAGGUAACGGCUUACCAAGGCAACGAUGCAUAGCCGACCUGAGAGGGUGAUCGGCCACACUGGAACUGAGACACGGUCCAGACUCCUACGGGAGGCAGCAGUAGGGAAUCUUCCGCAAUGGGCGAAAGCCUGACGGAGCAACGCCGCGUGAGUGAUGAAGGUCUUCGGAUCGUAAAACUCUGUUAUUAGGGAAGAACAUAUGUGUAAGUAACUGUGCACAUCUUGACGGUACCUAAUCAGAAAGCCACGGCUAACUACGUGCCAGCAGCCGCGGUAAUACGUAGGUGGCAAGCGUUAUCCGGAAUUAUUGGGCGUAAAGCGCGCGUAGGCGGUUUUUUAAGUCUGAUGUGAAAGCCCACGGCUCAACCGUGGAGGGUCAUUGGAAACUGGAAAACUUGAGUGCAGAAGAGGAAAGUGGAAUUCCAUGUGUAGCGGUGAAAUGCGCAGAGAUAUGGAGGAACACCAGUGGCGAAGGCGACUUUCUGGUCUGUAACUGACGCUGAUGUGCGAAAGCGUGGGGAUCAAACAGGAUUAGAUACCCUGGUAGUCCACGCCGUAAACGAUGAGUGCUAAGUGUUAGGGGGUUUCCGCCCCUUAGUGCUGCAGCUAACGCAUUAAGCACUCCGCCUGGGGAGUACGACCGCAAGGUUGAAACUCAAAGGAAUUGACGGGGACCCGCACAAGCGGUGGAGCAUGUGGUUUAAUUCGAAGCAACGCGAAGAACCUUACCAAAUCUUGACAUCCUCUGACCCCUCUAGAGAUAGAGUUUUCCCCUUCGGGGGACAGAGUGACAGGUGGUGCAUGGUUGUCGUCAGCUCGUGUCGUGAGAUGUUGGGUUAAGUCCCGCAACGAGCGCAACCCUUAAGCUUAGUUGCCAUCAUUAAGUUGGGCACUCUAAGUUGACUGCCGGUGACAAACCAGAGGAAGGUGGGGAUGACGUCAAAUCAUCAUGCCCCUUAUGAUUUGGGCUACACACGUGCUACAAUGGACAAUACAAAGGGUAGCGAAACCGCGAGGUCAAGCAAAUCCCAUAAAGUUGUUCUCAGUUCGGAUUGUAGUCUGCAACUCGACUACAUGAAGCUGGAAUCGCUAGUAAUCGUAGAUCAGCAUGCUACGGUGAGUACGUUCCCGGGUCU
rnacentral:rRNA from 1 species